CAGCAAGGAUCAACAGUCAUUGGCCUAUCAACGCAAACAAAAUAAAACUCCAGAUACUGCCAUUAGAUGACAGUAUUACAGAGCCAAGAAGCACUAUACAGACCAACUUAAGCUUGCAGCACAACCUUUUUUCAGCAUCUCCUUCUCAGCCUUGUCAGCAAUGCCUGUCAAAUAUUUCAAAAUUAGAAGUCCAUUCAAACUGUAGAUAUUCAAAAGAGACGUUGUACUGAACUGAACAAACAUGUAGUGCAUAAACAUCUCAGACUCCCAUGUACUGUGCUGAACAAAUCAUAUGUAUCAGUGAGAAGAAAAACACCUCACUCUAUCAUGUAUUGUACUGAACAAGCAUGUAGUGUGUAAACAGCAACAAGAUAUUGCAGUAGCAAAGACAAAAAUUAUCAUGUAGUGUGUAAACAGCAACAAAAUAUUGCAGUAGCAAAGACAAAAAUUAUGCAACACGAAAGAGACCAAGAGAAAAAAUAUUGUCAUCCACAUCAUACAGGUUUUGCAAAGAAUAUAGUACACUGGAAGAAGAAUGGAGAUAGUACCUUCUACAUUAAAACAUCUACUCGUCAUCGCUGUCGAUAUCCAUUGUGGCACCUCCUUCGUUUUCACUGCAAUACUCCAAACCUGUAUCAUCUUCUUCAUCUUCGUCGCCACCUUCAUACAUUUUUGUGGUUUUAUCUUUCAUCAAACGAGCAACAACAUCAGCUUCAAAAGUAAUGCCUUGCUCAUCAUCUCUAUGCAAAGGCUUUUCAGAUGUAAGGUCAGAAACUGAUGUUCUCCUACCCUCCUCUUCACAACACUCCUCCUCUUGAUAUGCAGGACCACUAAAAGGUACACCCUCAGUUUCACUAAUAUUGAAUAGAUGCCUAUAGUCGAAUGUUUGCACAACUUGCCAAUUUUUCCCAUACUUCGUGUCUGGCAAAUAAAAGACCUUACUAGCCUGAGUAGCCAGAAUCAAAGAAUCGUCCUUGUACCACCAACUUCCAACAUGUAUGCUUUUGAAAAAACGAUCAUUUUUAAGUUCAGUAUUCUUUCCAUCAAGUUUAAACCAGUCACAUUUAAACAAAACAACUGACCUAUCGUCCAAGUUAUAAUCUAACUGAAUGAUCUCUUUCAAGGUUCCAUAAAAAUCUAUGACCUUAUGGUUAUGUUCGCCUUCGGUCAUGACUCCACUGUUCUGUGUCCUCUUGUUGCUAUCACGAGCAACAAUGCUAAAUCUAAUCCCAUUCACUAUCCAUGAUGAGAAUUUCCGGACACUCCGAUCAGGACCACAUGCCAAGGCAAAGAGAUCUUCAUCUACCUCUUCACCAUCCUCGUCUCGUAGCCUCAUCAUCUGCGACAACACACAAACACAUACAUUAGAAUCUGCACUGAAAUUUGACAACCAAAAAUUAAAACUAGAUGUUAAUGAAAACUAACAUAGUUCCUGAACCAUGUCUGAAAUUUUUGUUGAAGCUCUUUAUCACUGUCCGGCAACCGUUUCCUCUUUAACUCAUCUCUGAACAUACUGUAAAAUAAAACAAAUUAGUCUCGUGACAUAUGUACAACACAAUGCAAGUUUCAGAAGUGACAACGUACUCGAUAUAUUUCUUAGCUUGAUCACAGUUGUUCAACACAUACCACACCAUCUGGUCAAAUUCUUUUUGGUCAUGCACAUAUUCAUAUUCAUAUCCUGAAGUAAAAUUAACUCCAUGCCCAAAAACGUCAACACCAUAGGCUUCUUCAUCUGAAAAACCUACAUUUCUUGGUUUCCGAUUAAAUAUUGUUUCAACAUCAUCCAUGUAUGUCACAUCCCUAACUUCUGGUUUGCUCUGAGCUAGCUAGUCAUGUGUUGCAUCAUGUUUAAAUUUUUCCUAAAAUUGGAAUGGGGAUGUUCAAACCCUAGCAUUAAAUCAACUCAACUAGGGUGAAUUAAAAUCUUUUCAAUAAACCCAAAAAGUUCCUCAGAAAAGUUCAUGAUUUCUGGUUAAGGUGGAAACCUCUGCCAAAAAUGAUGAAUAUAUUCUUAGGUCAUUUUUGGAUUUUUGAAUUAAAUCAUAUUGUAUUUGACUUUGGGCAUUUAAACACUAUAAAUAAUUUAAAUGUUCAAAUAAAUGUUGGAAAUUGUUAAGGGUCACUGAAAUAAUUUAGAAAGCACCCAUAAUUGUUUCCAGGAUUUUAUUAAAUGAUUUGGUAUUUUAAAUCAAAUCAAAAACAAAAUAACAGAAAUAGAAAAGAAAUAAAAGAGAGAGAGAGAAGGAAGUUACCUGGCGCCCACUCACCUGGUAGCCAGCCGGCCCAGCUCCUGUGCGGCCCAGCCCAGCGCCUCCCCCUGUCGUCUUCCUCCUCGCCAGAAGGACCGAGGCGUGGCGCGCACCCGAGAGGCCUCGGCCACCUCCUGCUUCCCCUGGCCACCUCAUGCUUCCUCCUCGAUGCCCCGGUGACGCCAUGCGCCUCCCUCGACCCUCUCUCACUCUCCCGUGUCUCUCCCUCCGUCCCUAUCCUCCUCUGCUCCCUCUCUCUCACCCGGACCAAACGGAGCCGCCGCCACCGACGAGCUCCCUCGCGGCCACCGCCACCCCCUCUCCUCUCCGACGCGCUCCCGAGCUCCGCCGGUCCUCCCUCGUCCUCCUCGUUGUCUCGCGCGACCAGAAGAGCCCCUGGAUGCCGCUAGCCUCGCUGUUCCCUCCUCAGCCACCGAGGAUCGCCGUCGUCAAAUUCGUCGCCGUUCGGCCUUCCCCGAGCCCACCGAGCUGCUCGUCGACCUCGCCGUGAGCUCCUCUGCCGAACCCCUCUCUCCCCGUGCUCUAUUUCCCUCCGUAGCCGCCGUUACCACCGCGGCCGAGAGCUUCUCGCCGCCGGCCAUGGCGUGGUCGUGGCCACAGCCACCGCAGCUCGCUCCCGAGCCCACCGUCGUGCUCAGCGCAGCACCAAGAGCUCGUAGCCACCACCUGCUCCUCCUCUAGUGCACCGUAGCCGUUCUCCCCUCCCCGCCGAACUCCGGCCGCCGCAAAAGCUGCCGCCGUCGUCGAUUUAGCCCACUCCGUCGCGAGUUGUUGCCUCCGUUGGAUGCGCAAGACUCCUAGCUUUCCGUAGCCGCAAACCGCGUCCAAAACCACCGCCUGAAGCUAAAAUCCGAGCCGCGCCACCGUCUCGGGCCUCGCCGGCGUCGAGUCGCCGGUGGGGUUGACCCACUUGACCACGGCGGAACCCCCCCUGGGUCGAUGACAGGUGGGGCCAGCCCCUGUUAAUUAGUUUAGGUGUUAGAUUAGUUAACACUAAUUAAGUUAGUUAAUUAUUUAAGCCACUAACAUGUGGGCCCAACCCUGCUGACAUUUUCGUUAGUAUUUGUUUAACCCUAAUCAACCCAGUUAACCAACUGUGUCACUGACGUGUGGCCCCCACACGUCAGGUUUGACCUGGGGCGCCCAGUUGACCCUGCUGACGUCACCGUGACGUGGUGCUGACGCCAUAAAUCAUUUCUGGAUUUAUUAUUAUUUCAGGAAUUUCAGAAAAUAGCUAAAACUUCAAUAAAUCAUAAAAAAUUAACCGUAACUCCAAAUUAAAUAAAUUAUAUAUGAAAAAUUAUCAGAAAAAUUCAAGGAAUCCAUCUGUACCAUUUUCAUGCAUGUUAGAACAACUUAUAGAUGCUGUUUAGCACAAAUCAUAUAAAGGGCAUUUAAAUAAUCACAUAUGGAGUUUGAAUUUGAAUCUUGUAUUCAAACCAACUUCAUUUAAUUUGUUGCUGGUUGCAUUAGCUCAAAACACAUUCAUUUUGCCAUGUCAUGAUCAUGCAUCAUAUUGUGCAUUACAUUGAUUGUGUUCCCUUCUGUGUUGCCGGUAUUUGUCCCCUCUCGAUAGACGUGAUACCGAUGAUGUGAUCGUUGACACUGAUGAAGACUCAAUGUUAUCUUCAGAAGUGCCAGGCAAGCAAAACCCCCUUGUUCAUUCCGAUACAAUCCUACUCUCUCGCUAAUGCAUUAGGACAACAACGAUUCAACUGUUACUUGAUGCGGUAGCUGAACCCCUUUAUCCUUUGCAUGACCUGUCAUUGCCACAGUAAAUAGAUGAAACCCACUAGCAUGAGUAGGAGUUGUUUGAGCCCUGUUGUGCCUACUCAUUCAUGUUUGUUUGUCAUGCCUGCUACUGCUUAGAGUUGAGUCAGGUCCGAUUCAUCGGGGAUGAAUCAGAGGUGUGUGAACAUGUCCUACUGUGUGUGAGCUAAGUGUGUGAACACGAUUUGGUAAAAGGUAUCGGUGAGAGGCCAUGUAGGAGUACAUGGUGGGUUGUCUCAUUGAAGCCGUCCUCAGGAACUGAGUUCUGUGUUUGUGAUCCAUGAUUCAGCUACUACCAUACAUUGGGCCCUGAAAUAUGACCCCGCUCGACUUCUUAUCCACCCUUGUCCUCUGUCCAGGAGUUGCAAGUAGUUUCUGGUGUUUGUAGUAUGCUGGAGGCCGUGGGCAGCGCUGACCGGAGGGGUGGGCUGUGAUGCGGUAGGCACGUGGCACGGUGUACCGGGCGCCCGUUUGGUGUCUCGGGAACCCUGUUCACAUCGUUUGGGGCUGUGAGCGAAACUCCGGCCGGAUCUCCUCAUGGAUGGAACCCGAAUAGGCGAUAAACCUGGACUAGAGACUUGAGUGUUUAGGUAGGUCGUGGUCUACACCCACGUCGGCUUUUGCUUGAAGUCUGCCGAGCACAUGUCGUGUGCAGACGCUAUGUGGUGGAAACAUGUAUGAAGAAGUACACCGCUGCAGGGUUAAUAUCAUCUAUUCGAAUAGCCGUGUCCGCGGUAAAGGACUUCUGGGUUGCUUAUAUCAGUUCAUAGACAAGUGAAAGUGGAUACUCUAAAAUACGCAAGAUAAGCGUGAGUGCUAUGGAUGGCGUUCUCGUAGGGAGACGGGAGCGGAUCCAUAGUGGUGUAUUGAUAUGGUGAAUAUGUGGACUCGUGUGCGCCACCUCAAAAGAGUUGCUUGCAGUCGUAGUUUAGGAUAGCCACCGAGUCAAAGCUGGCUUGCUGCAGUUAAACCCCACCAUCCCCUUGUUGAUAAUGAUGCAUAUGUAGUUAGUUCUGAUGUAAGUCUUGCUGGGUACAUUUGUACUCACGUUUGCCUAUUUUAUGUUUUUGCAGAGAGACUUCGGUCUCACUAGUAGUUCCACGUGGACUUCGAUGUUUAGCUUGUUACCUCAGCUACGGUCUUGUGCCUCGGCAGGAUUUGGUAGAUAGUCAGGCUUCUCAGCCUUUUUCAUUUAUAGAUGUCUGUACUCAGACAUGAUAGCUUCCGCUUGUGCUUUGAUAUGUAUGCUCUGAAUGUUGGGUCAUGAGACCCCUGUUUGUAAUAUCUCGCUCCUCGGAGCCUAUUGAUUAAAUACUUGAGUUAUAGAGUCAUGUUGUGAUGCCAUGUUGUAUUUGCACAUAUCGAGCAUAUUGUGUGUAUGUUAUUGAAAUGCUUGGUAUGUGUGGGAUCUGACUAUCUAGUUGUUUAUUCUUAGUAGCCUCUCUUACCGGGAAAUGUCUCCUAGUGUUUCCACUGAGCCAUGGUAGCUUGCUACUGCUCCGGAACACUUAGGCUGGCCGGCAUGUGUCCUUCUUUGUUCCUGUGUCUGUCCCUUCGGGGAAAUGUCACGCGAUGAAUACCAGAGUCCUGUUAGCCCGCUACAGCCCGGUUCACCGGAGUCCUGCUAGCCCAGUGCUACAGCCUGGAUUCACUCGCUGAUGACCGACACGUUCGAUGCUGGGUCAUGGAUGCCUUUCCCUGUAAGUUUGUGCCACUUUGGGUUUACGACUAGCCAUGUCAGCCCGGGCUCCUUAUCAUAUGGAUGCUAGCGACACUAUCAUAUACGUGUGCCAAAAGGCGCAAACGGUCCCGGGCAAAGGUAAGGCGACACCCGUGGGAAUACCGUGCGUGAGGCCGCAAAGUGAUAUGAGGUGUUACAUGCUAGAUCGAUGUGGCAUUGAGUCAGGGUCCCGACAGCGUUGGUAUCAGAGCUUGAUUGCCUGUAGGAUUACCAAGCCAAACUGGUCGAAGUUGAGUCUAGAAAUUCUUUAGUUAUAUAAGGAAAUUGAUUGUGGGAUGGAACGUAAGGCUCUUUUUACUCCUUAUACCUCAUGCCCUUCUGAUCUGAGUCAUCUUAUCUUUCCUACGGGGAUUAAGAGCUAGGCUAUCUCUUCUUUCUAUCAGGAUCAUGCGUUACUAAUCCGUAGACUUAUAAGAUGGUUGGAUUUAAGCUUGAGUUCAGUUUCUACUACUUCCGUAUGUUAAUUGUUGAUCUCGAAACCUUGAUAUUGUGCUUCCGAGUGGUUAUGCCACCAUUUUUGUGAAUGUCUCAAAUCUUUUCUGAGCAUUUACAGCCGUUAUGCUGUCCGAGUCAUCCCAGGGUUCUAAAUAGUCUGAUGCAUUUGCAAAAUCCUUUCCCUCUGGUUUCAAUGUUCCUUUAUGCUAGCUCAAUCACACUAAUUGUUGAGUUGAGGUAUUCUAUUGCCUUGACAAUUAUGUUGGAGUUAUUAUUAUGACCCUAGGUGUCUCAGGGGAUCAUCUAGUGGUCUAGCCAUGAUUUGUGUUCUAGUGUGAUGAUUCUGGCCUUUAUUCCCGAAAGCAUCCCGUGAUGCUACUUAGUAGUAGGUAUUCUAUUCCUGGGUUCUUGAACCCGAGAUUCACUCUACUUACUUCAUGUUGAUAGUAAUUGCUAGCUCCCUUAGGUUAUUAGUAACCUUUGCGUUAGUCCUCGAGGUCCGUGGUAUAUCGUUCUUCCAAAUACCAUGAACCAUUAUGGCAGAAGUUUGUUGGAUUAAAAGAUCACAACAGGCCCUCUAUGAGUUCUCCAUUCUAUAUUGCGACUCUGCCAGCUCAACCUUUCUGCAUGGGUUAUCCGGAAGAAUUAUGUUGAACUUAGUUCGACAUACUAAUCUAUGCAUCCACAAGUCAGAAAGUUAUAUGUUCCUUUGAAUUGUCCCUCUUUAGUUGCCUACUGACCUUCGUCUAUCAAUUGAUAGUCAAGAAUAUGCAUGCAUUCGUUUAUCGAUGCCUAUUACUCUUGUGGUCCGUCAAGCCAUUCUAUCAUAGAAUGAUAGGAGAAACAAACUCCAGUACCUCUUCCAUAUCUAGGAUUGGGUCAAAGCAAUUGUGCUCCGCAGAUCAAAAUGCCAGCCCAGCUUUUGAUUCUGAUCUACCUUGGAGUAUUACCAUCUUUAUAUCGGGAUUGUUAUAGGAAUUGCACACCAUCCUAUGAACUCUUGGUACAGUGAUACUUCUUGCCAUCAUUGUUCAUUCCUCGGUUCCUGUGUUAUUGUAACCGGAAUGCCGACAAGUGAAUCGUGGUGUGUGAAAUCAAUACUGCUAGCAACUCCAUUGCUUGGUAGUUAAAUGGACGAUAACCUCAUUCUUAGCGUGUUGAUUUUUGAAUCAUCCUUCUAAGACUGAUCGUGCUACCUUGUUCAUCUUCCUGGUGCACAUUUCGAUUGAUGAGUUAGGAUUCUGUCAAGUCCUCGCUCAUUUAAUUAUAUCGUCUUGCCCUGAAAAGCAAGAUUGUUCUCGAGCUUAGUAACAUACCGGUGGUUCGUGAUUUUCCGAAGAUCUUCUCGGAAGUAUUACCAGGUUGUCACCUGACCGCUGUGUUGAGCUCGUGAUCAAGUUGGUUUCUUGUGAACCACCCUUCUCCAAGAAUCUGUGUUGGAUAUCCCUGAGCUAGUUGGUUAAGCUAGACAACAACUUGGAGAGUUGGAAGAUAAAAGCUUGCCUGACUUAGUUCGUUCCAAAGGGAUAUUCUUGUGUAGUAUGUGUGUACGAAAGAUGAUAUCUUCAUCGAUUCGUCCCUGUGAUCAGUUGCUGGACCUAUCAUUUUUAUCUAACCUUUGAUUGGAGUAUGGGCUAUCAUCCAAUCAGACCAGAACCAACGAUAUUCGUAAUGUUGUCUUACUCGUGGUUGAUCCCUCGAGCAUACACCAUUAUAUCUUUCGGGUCUGACCAAUGCUAUCACUUGUUCACUUAACUAUGGAAUUCCUUUUAAAGCGAAACCCGGAAGAAUUAUUGUUGAGCCCAUUGGCAACAUCCUUAUCUCCUCCAUGAUGUUGUUGAACAUUAAGCUAGUGUUGGAAACUUUUGAAAGCAUUUUCUUCAUGCUAGCUCAUGAAGUAUUUGUUUGAUGAAAGGAGUGACUUCCUCUUAUACACGUGCAUUUGGUGAAAGUUGCCGCCGUGAAUUUGAGAAAGACUGUUUUGUUUCCUUUGGAAUCAUCCCAAAUCAGUCAUGCACACGUGCGAAGUAUUCUGUAGUCUGGAGACUUGCAACCUUCAUUCUAUAUGUGUCCCUAGCACACUAAGCCACUGAUUAACUUGUUCAAGGAAAAGAAGUCUAUGCUUGGGAUCUAAUACAUGGACUUGCGUAAAGACUUCUAUAUCCUCGAUUAUGGUUCCCCACCCGAACUCGGUAGUGUUUGAUUAUAAGACUACUACGUGGCCAUGCUUGUCUGGGACAACGUGUUCACAUGUUAGUAGCAGAACCAGCUCAUGUUUGGAGCUUGCUAUCGUAGUUCAUUCCCGAGAAUCUCGCAACGUCAUCUCAUCGAUUUGUGUUGUAAACUUUCGUUUUUCUUCCUAGACUCGAUGAGUCUGGAAUAUCCUGACACCAACCAGAUCUGAAUCUCAGGCAGAUAUGAUGGUUUGGAACAUUUCCCAAGAACUAUAAUAUCGAUCCCUCGAAAACCGGUAAAGUGGAUGUCGUGGCCAACACACCUAGCCGGAAGACCUGUUAUUAUAAUAUCUUGAUUGAGGAAGUUGGCCACCUCCCCAUAGGGAUUUCGUAGGAUUUACUCCCUAGUUGCCCCUAUGGAUUUUGUGUUCCCGAAGUCCGACCUUUUACUUGAUGUUCUAGAUACCAAACCAUUUCAAUGAAUGGGAUACGCUAGCACAUCAAGGAGAACAUUAGGAGCGGAGUGCUAAAUGUCUCUCGGUCGAUCAUCCAGAUUUUAUUUCCUUGGCCCCGCCAAGGGUGAAAUCUAAGAAAGUGUUAUCUUCCUUUGCAUCUGCAUCAUCCAUCAUCAUUCAUCAUGGUAGCAAGUUGUGUUGCCAGGAUCCUUGACACGGAUAUUGGUAAAACCUUGAUGAUUGUGGAAAUGCUCAAGUUCUUGAGAGCACGCACAAGCGCUACGUGAUAUCAUCGGCACUAACUGGGAUUCCUCUCAGUUUCCUCGGCAAUGCUAUGACCUUUUCAAACAGUGAAUUCACUCUCUAUUGUUGGGUUCUUCCCCCAGUUACCAGAAUCGUUCCUAGCAUUUGCAUUUUGUUCCCAGCUUGCACCGCCAAUGUGCCAUUCUACCAUGGGUCUCUUCCAUUUCUGGUGAUAAGCAAACUCAUCCAUUACGUUGUCUUCAACAAGGUAAUCCACAUCAUCCAAGUCCGAGUAUGCCAUUCUACCGACCCCCGCCAAUCGAUUGCUGUGAUUUGCCUUAGGCUGAUAUAGAGAGUCUCAAUGAUCUCUAUAUCAAAGGUAAUUCAUUUUGCCACUUAAGGUAAUAAUCUACGAAUCACCCUCCUCUAGGAUGUUUCGUCGUGGUAUCAUGGCAAUUCAACUCCUUGCUACGUUGACAAUCGUUUACCACCUUCUAAGGUGUGGAAUUGUUGCCUACCUAGUGAACCUCCGUCAUCUGCUUCACUCCAUUCCUAUGGAUGUGUGCUUCGUGUCUCAGCUCAAGAGAUGUUGCUAUGCCUCAUUCCGGGAGUUAAUCCUGAGUUGUUCGAUCUUCGAGAAGAACGAUUCUUUUAGGGUCUUUCCUUUCCUCUCGUUGUCAUGUUAGUUGGAGUUCUCAGAGGAAGACGUCGAGACAAGGAUGGUGAACAAAUCAACGUUCAAUUGAAGUACAACUUGGAUCGUGAAGAUUGUGCUAGUUUGCGUUUCCCCAUCACCUUACCCUACGCUUGAAUCUCGGGACGAGAUUUUUGUUUAGUGGGGGUGAGUUGUCACAUCCCUAACUUCUGGUUUGCUCUGAGCUAGCUAGUCAUGUGUUGCAUCAUGUUUAAAUUUUGCCUAAAAUUGGAAUGGGGAUGUUCAAACCGUAGCAUUAAAUCAACUCAACUAGGGUGAAUUAUAGUCUUUUCAAUAAACCCAAAAAGUUCCUAAGAAAAGUUCAUGAUUUCUGGUUAAGGUGGAAACCUCUGCCAAAAAUGAUGAAUAUAUUCUUAGGUCAUUUUUGGAUUUUUGAAUUCAAUCAUAUUGUAUUUGACUUUGGGCAUUUAAACACUAUAAAUAAUUUAAAUGUUCAAAUAAAUGUUGGAAAUUGUUAAGGGUCACUGAAAUAAUUCAGAAAGCACCCAUAAUUGUUUCCAGGAUUUUAUUAAAUGAUUUGGUAUUUUAAAUCAAAUCAAAAACAAAAUAACAGAAAUAGAAAAGAAAUAAAAGAGAGAGAGAGAAGGAAGUUACCUGGCGCCCACUCACCUGGUAGCCAGCCGGCCCAGCUCCUGUGCGGCCCAGCCCAGCGCCUCCCCCUGUCGUCUUCCUCCUCGCCAGAAGGACCGAGGCGUGGCGCGCGCCCGAGAGGCCUCGGCCACCUCCUGCUUCCCCUGGCCACCUCCUGCUUCCUCCUCGACGCCCCGGUGACGCCACGCAACUCCCUCGACCCUCUCUCACUCUCCCGUGUCUCUCCCUCCGUCCCUAUCCUCCUCUGCUCCCUCUCUCUCGCCUGGACCGAACGGAGCCGCCGCCACCGACGAGCUCCCUCGCGGCCACCGCCACCCCCUCUCCUCUCCGACGCGCUCCCGAGCUCCGCCGGUCCUCCCUCGUCCUCCUCGUCGUCUCGCGCGACCAGAAGAGCCCCUGGAUGCCGCUAGCCUCGCCGUUCCCUCCUCGGCCACCGAGGAUCGCCGUCGUCAAAUUCGUCGCCGUUCGGCCUUCCCCGAGCCCACCGAGCUGCUCGUCGACCUCGCCGUGAGCUCCUCUGCUGAACCCCUCUCUCCCCGUGCUCUAUUUCCCUCCGUAGCCGCCGUUACCACCGCGACCGAGAGCUUCUCACCGCCGGCCAUGGCGUGGCCGUGGCCACAGCCACCGCAGCUCGCUCCCGAGCCCACCGUCGUGCUCAGCGUAGCACCAGGAGCUCGUAGCCACCACCUGCUCCUCCUCUAGUGCACCGUAGCCCUUCUCCCCUCCCCGCCGAACUCCGGCCGCCGCAAAAGCUGCCGCCGUCGUUGAUUUAGCCCACUCCGUCGCGAGUUGUUGCCUCCGUUGGAUGCGCAAGACUCCUAGCUUUCUGUAGCCGCAAACCGCAUCCAAAACCACCGCCUGAAGCUCAAAUCCGAGCCGCGCCACCGUCUCGGGCCUCGCCGGCGUCGAGUCGCCGGUGGGGUUGACCCACUUGACCACGGCGGAACCCCCCCUGGGUCGAUGACAGGUGGGGCCAGCCCCUGUUAAUUAGUUUAGGUGUUAGAUUAGUUAACACUAAUUAAGUUAGUUAAUUAUUUAAGCGACUGACAUGUGGGCCCAACCCUGCUGACAUUUUCGUUAGUAUUAGUUUAACCCUAAUCAACCCAGUUAACCAACUGUGUCACUGACGUGUGGCCCCCACACGUCAGGUUUGACCUGGGGCGCCCAGUUGACCCUGCUGACGUCACCGUGACGUGGUGCUGACGCCAUAAAUCAUUUCUGGAUUUAUUAUUAUUUCAGGAAUUUCAGAAAAUAGCUAAAACUUCAAUAAAUCAUAGAAAAUUAACCGUAACUCCAAAUUAAAUAAAUUAUAUAUGAAAAAUUAUCAGAAAAAUUCAAGGAAUCCAUCUGUACCAUUUUCAUGCAUGUUAGAGCAACUUAUAGAUGCUGUUUAGCACAAAUCAUAUAAAGGGCAUUUAAAUAAUCACAUAUGAAGUUUGAAUUUGAAUCUUGUAUUCAAACCAACUUCAUUUAAUCUGUUGCUAGUUGCAUUAGCUCAAAACACAUUCAUUUUGCCAUGUCAUGAUCAUGCAUCAUAUUGUGCAUUACAUUGAUUGUGUUCCCUUCUAUGUUGUCGGUAUUUAUCCCCUCUCGAUAGACGUGAUACCGAUGAUGUGAUCGUUGACACUGAUGAAGACUCAAUGUUAUCUUCAGAAGUGCCAGGCAAGCAAAACCCCCUUGUUCAUUCCGAUACAAUCCUACUCUCUCGCUCCUGCUCUCUUUUAAUGCAUUAGGACAACUACGAUUCAACUGUUACUUGCUGCGGUAGCUGAACCCCUUUAUCCUUUGCAUGACCUGUCAUUGCCACAGUAAAUAGAUGAAACCCACUAGCAUGAGUAGGAGUUGUUUGAGCCCUGUUGUGCCUACUCAUUCAUGUUUGUUUGUCAUGCCUGCUACUGCUUAGAGUUGAGUCAGGUCUGAUUCAUCGGGGAUGAAUCAGAGGUGUAUGAACAUGUCCUACUGUGUGUGAGCUAAGUGUGUGAACACGAUUUGGUAAAAGGUAUCGGUGAGAGGCCAUGUAGGAGUACAUGGUGGGUUGUCUCAUUGAAGCCGUCCUCAAGAACUGAGUUCUGUGUUUGUGAUCCAUGAUUCAGCUACUACCAUACAUUGGGCCCUGAAAUAUGACCCCGCUCGACUUUUCUUAUCCACCCUUGUCCUCUGUCUAGGAGUUGCAAGUAGUUUCUGGUGUUUGUAGUAUGCUGUAGGCCGUGGGCAGCGCUGGCCGGAGGGGUGGGCUGUGAUGCGGUAGGCACAUGGCACGGUGUACCGGGCGCCCGUUUGGUGUCUCGGGAACCCUGUUCACAUCGUUUGGGGCUGUGAGCGAAACUCCGGCCGGAUCUCCUCAUGGAUGGAACCCGAAUAGGCGAUAAACCUGGACUAGAGACUUGAGUGUUUAGGUAGGUCGUGGUCUACACCCACGUCGGCUUUCGCUUGAAGUCUGCCGAGCACAUGUCGUGUGCAGACGCUAAGUGGUGGAAACAUGUAUGAAGAAGUACACCCCUGCAGGGUUAAUAUCAUCUAUUCGAAUAGCCGUGUCCGCGGUAAAGGACUUCUGGGUUGCUUAUAUCAGUUCAUAGACAAGUGAAAGUGGAUACUCUAAAAUAUGCAAGAUAAGCGUGAGUGUUAUGGAUGGCGUUCUCGUAGGGAGACGGGAGCGGAUCCAUAGUGGUGUAUUGAUAUGGUGAAUAUGUGGACUCGUGUGCGCCACCUAAAAAGAGUUGCUUGCAGUCGUAGUUUAGGAUAGCCACCGAGUCAAAGCUGGCUUGCUGCAGUUAAACCCCACCAUCCCCUUGUUGAUAAUGAUGCAUAUGUAGUUAGUUCUGAUGUAAGUCUUGCUGGGUACAUUUGUACUCACGUUUGCCUAUUUUAUGUUUUUGCAGAGAGACUUCGGUCUCACUAGUAGUUCCACGUGGACUUCGACGUUUAGCUUGUUACCUCAGCUACGGUCUUGUGCCUCGGCAGGAUUUGGUAGAUAGUCAGGCUUCUCAGCCUUUUUCAUUUAUAGAUGUCUGUACUCAGACAUGAUAACUUCCGCUUGUGCUUUGAUAUGUAUGCUCUGAAUGUUGGGUCAUGAGACCCCUGUUUGUAAUAUCUCGCUCCUCGGAGCCUAUUGAUUAAAUACUUGAGUUAUAGAGUCAUGUUGUGAUGCCAUGUUGUAUUUGCACAUAUCGAGCAUAUUGUGUGUAUGUUAUUGAAAUGCUUGGUAUGUGUGGGAUCUGACUAUCUAGUUGUUUAUUCUUAGUAGCCUCUCUUACCGGGAAAUGUCUCCUAGUGUUUCCACUGAGCCAUGGUAGCUUGCUACUGCUCCGGAACACUUAGGCUGGCCGGCAUGUGUCCUUCUUCGUUCCUGUAUCUGUCCCUUCGGGGAAAUGUCACGCGAUGAAUACCAGAGUCCUGUUAGCCCGCUACAGCCCGGUUCACCGGAGUCCUGCUAGCCCAGUGCUACAGCCUGGAUUCACUCGCUGAUGACCGACACGUUCGAUGCUGGGUCAUGGAUGCCUGUCCCUGUAAGUUUGUGCCACUUUGGGUUUACGACUAGCCAUGUCAGCCCGGGCUCCUUAUCAUAUGGAUGCUAGCGACACUAUCAUAUACGUGUGCCAAAAGGCGCAAACGAUCCCGAGCAAAGGGAAGGCGACACUCGUGGGAAUACCGUGCGUGAGGCCGCAAAGUGAUAUGAGGUGUUACAUGCUAGAUCGAUGUGGCAUUGAGUCAGGGUCCUGACAAUGUACUUGGAGCAAAAUGUCAGGCAUUCAUCUGCAAUAUAUGCCUUAGCAAUCGAACCUUCUGGUUGCGCCCUAUUCCUCACAUAGCGCUUUAAAGUAUAUAGCCUUCUUUCAACUGGGUACAUCCACCCAUAUUGCACGGGACCUCGAAGCAAUGCCUCUUCAGGUAAGUGUACGGCAAGGUGCACCAUCACAUCAAAGAAUGCAGGCGGGAAAAUUUUCUCAAGCUUGCACAAAAUUACAGGGAUUUCCUUCUUCAUUUCAGCCAAGACAUCCCUAUUAAGAGUUUUGCUGCACAGUUCUCUGAAAAACUUGCCUAACUCAGCUAUUGCUUCAUAUAUAUCACUGUCCAAAAAUCCUCUCAUGCCGGCGGGUAAGAUUCUCUGCAAAAGAAUGUGACAAUCAUGUGUUUUCAAGCCUUGUACCUUCGUUCCAUCAGCACUUGUGCAUCUUGAGAGGUUGGAAGCAAACCCAUCUGGAAACUUUAACUCUCGUAAAAAUUGACAAAAUGCAACCACUUGUUCUUUGGACAAGGUAUAUCGGGCCCGAGGCAUCACAUAUGAGUCUCCCUCCUUCCUCAAUUGCAACUCUUCUUUAAUAUUCAAAUCUUUCAGAUCAAUCCUAGCAUUAAGUGUGUCCUUUGUCUUACCCUCCAGAUUCAGAAUUCUCCCAAUGAGGUUUUCACAAAUGUUUUUCUCAAUGUGCAUGACAUCAAGAUUGUGUCCCAGCUUCAACUUUGCCCAAUACUUCAAAUCCCACAAACAAACCCUCCAGCCCCAAAUUGGCACAUGAUCCUUCUUGUUGCCCAGGUCAGAACGCUUCCUUUUCCUACUUUCUUGGUGUCUCCCAGGUCUAACCUUCUCCAAUUCUGCUUGCAACUCUUUCUCAGAGAAUUUACCUGGCUCAUCAUUGCUUUCAUGAAGACCAACAAAUUCAUUGUUUCUCCGUAAACGACGACCCCUUGGAAGGAAAUGGUAGUGACCAAUAUACCCAAUUUUACUCCUUAGGCUGUAAGAAAGAGGGUGUUUGUCACAAUGAAUACAUGCAAAAUAGCCUCUUGUGGUACGCCUUGAAAGAGUGCUCAGAGCUGGGUAAUCGUGAAUGCACCAUAGAACCGCAGCAUGAAGAUCAAACAUUUUUCCACUAAGAGCAUCAUAUGUACGCACACCCUCCCAGAGCUCAAGUAAUUCUUCUACAAGUGGUUGGAGAAAGACAUCGAAGUGCUUGCCAGGUGAUUUGGGACCAGAAAUCAGCAAAGCCAUCAUAAAAUUUGACUGAUCCAUGCAUGCCCAAGGUGGAAGGUUGUAUGGUAUAACAAAUACAGGCCACAUACAAUAGGUUGUGUUAAAAUUUCCAAAAGGAUUGAACCCAUCAGUGGCAAUGCCAAGCCUAAAGUUUCUGGCAUCUUUUGCAAAUUCUGGAAAUUUUUCAUCAAAAUCUUUCCAUGCAUCACCGUCUUUUGGAUGACUCAGUUCCUUCUCAUUGGGUUGCCUCUUUAGCUCAUGCCAUUGUGCUUCUUCUGCACCUUUUUUGGAAAGAAACAUCCUCUUUAGCCUAGGCACCAACGGAAAAUGCCUCAACACUUUCUGUGGAAUCUUCUUUCUAGCAGAGUCUUUCCACCUUGAUAGUCCACAAACUGGGCAGUUGUCAUGAUUGGCAUAUUGCUUUCUGAACAGAAUGCAAUUAUUCAAGCACACAUGUAUAGACUCAUACCCAAGGCCUAAUUCCUUUAGAAGAUUCUUUGCUUCCUUAUACGAUUUUGGGAGUGUAUUGGGUUCAGGGAAUGCUUCGGCUAAUAGCUUUAAAAUUUCAGUAAAUGCACUAUUCGGGAUCCUAUGGUAUGACUUCAAGUGAAGAAGCUUUACCACAAAGGAGAACCUUGAAAACUUGGUACAACCAUGAUAAAGUUGUCGUUUUGCCUCCUUCAUCACAUUCUUCAAAAAAGACUCAUUCUCAGAAGGGUUUCCACCAUUGUUAGCAUCUUGAUUUUCAGUUUCACUCUGAGCUUGUUCUACUGUUGUGCGUAGGUCUUCAAACAUCUCUUCAAACCGGUCAGCGCCAUUGUCACCAUCCUCAGUGUCAUGCACAUCAACAGGAUGUUCAAUAACAUCUACAUCAAAGUCUUCUCCAUGAUAUAUCCAGCGAGUAUACAUACUUUCCAUGCCAUACAUCAGUAUGUGCGUGUUCGCAACGGUCUGAUGCUGGUAGUUAUGAUUAAGGCAUUUUCUACAUGGGCAGAGUAUUUUAUCAUUCUCACUGAAUUUCUCUUGAAUGAAUUUCAUAAAUUCUUUGACACCUUGGAUGUACUCACGGGAAAACAAUGUACCAUGAAUCCAACGUCUAUCCAUCUGCACUGCAGAAAAAGAACCAACUCAAUCAAAGGUUUACCCCGGCCAUCAAAUUAAAAUGUACAGUAUAUAGCAAACUAAAAUAUGUUCAGAAUUAUAAUUAUAUUGCUUCACACUAUAGUGAACACAGUUCAUCAAAAGAUUUUUCUUUUGCUCUAACAAAGGAACAUUCACCAUUUGACAAUAUUUCACUGAUUAUUCCACAUUAAAGAGGUCUACAAAUCCGUAGUACACAUUUUUACACACAUGUUUGCACAAAAUGUUUGUACAAGGGUAAUGAUCUUCGGUAGUUGGAUGCAAGGAAAUUUAUAGGCAUGAUCCUGUCAUAAUUUACUUACUACAAGCUCAUCUUGUCUCUUGGUGUAGGGUUGAUUUAGUUAUAAAAUUUUAAAACAGAGGAAUACAUGUCCUUUGGACCACCCCAAAACAGAGGAGUACAUGUCCUAGAGCUUGAGCUGUUAAUUCAUCAGCUUUGCUGGAUGAAGGCUGAAACUGUAGUAGGAAUCACAGCUCAUGUAAAAAAUGCUGCUGAUAUAAAGUGCACAAAGUUAUUUACAGAUUGUGUAACUUCAUUGCCGUGGCAAAGAAUUCAAUGGGCCACCGUGCUGAUUUUCGGCCGUGGCAGAUUAUGAAAUCCAAAUUAUCUACUCAAGCUGCAGUGGAUUUAUCAGUUUAUAUCUUUCUGAAAAGCUGAAGCUAGCAGGACCAACAGCUCAUGUAUCAUAACUCUAGAUCUAGAUAGACUGAAACCUAAAGGGAAAAAGUUCACCCAGCAGGGAGAUGAAUCCCAGAAGCAUUUGCUCUGCGUCAUACCUCUAGAUCUAAAUAGGGUGAAACCUAAAGGGAAAAAGUUCACCCCAAAUUCUGAAGGGGAAAAUUGCAAAUCAGAAUAUUUAGUCAACAAAUUCUGAAGGAGAGAGACAUGAUUUCUGCCGGGGACAUACCGCUCGCUCCUGGCUGACGUUGAUGUAGGGAAAGAACGGGG
rnacentral:lncRNA from 1 species